rnacentral:lncRNA from 1 species
UCUAGUUGUCAGUUCCCUGAUGAUAGACUACAUAAAAUUUAUUUGAACAGGUGUUACUCCAGAUGAUGUCUUCAAUGCAGUUUCUUUGUGGGUGACAAAUUCACCAUUCCCUACUUCUUGGAAGCAGCCAGCAGGUGGGAGUAAAAAGCAACUGUUUUCCUCACCCUUUAUAACCCAGUUAAGAAUUUGACUGACAGAAUGUUGGCACCAGCUGUGGCAGAACUGAUCAGCCUCAACUCCAAUGCAGAAUUUGUCUUGGAUCAUCAAGAUUGCUUUACUGAUUACUAGAAAGACUGACAAACUUGAAUGUGUGUUUGUAUUCUUAGUCCACUGCUAGCCAAACCAAGAAGACCCAAAAUGUUCAUGAAGAGAUCAAUAUAGUAGAAGUUAGGGCUUCUGGAGAGACAAAUUAUCUGACAGGAAGCUCAUCAAAAUGGAUGUGAAGUGCUGCAUCUUGGAAGCAAGAUUAUAAACUGAUGCUGACCAGCUGGGGUGCUGCUGUGCAGUCGUGGCUCUGGGACCUCUGGAGCCACUAGGCUGUCCCCAAGGCAGCAGUAGACCCAGAAAAGCAGUCUCAUACUCUGGACUGCUUUAGCAAGGGUGAAGCCAGCAGAUACAGGAAAGUGAUUCUGCACUCCUGUUCAUACUGAGAUCACAUCUGGCAGGCUUUGGGUAACAGAGUGUGAGACUGGAAUUGAUGUAAUGAAGUUAGACCUGAUCUUUGUGGUCUGGAGAUGGAGACCAAUUGUAAGGAAGCCUGUGAAAUGCUGAGAUAGCUCUUUAUCAUAACAUAUGGACCUCUUUUUAUUUUGGAGGUCAAGAUAACCUUCUUGAGGCAAAGUAUGAAGAGUAAGUGAAAAUAUCAGAAAUUUAGGCUUAAAUGGGGACAUGAUGCCUCUUGUAGCAGACCACAGUUGAAAGCAUGCCAGAUUCAUUUUUGUAUCAGUAUAUAUAUUCAGUACGUG